CCUACGGGUGGCAGCAGUCGAGAAUCAUUCACAAUGGGGGAAACCCUGAUGGUGCGACGCCGCGUGGGGGAAUGAAGGUCUUCGGAUUGUAAACCCCUGUCAUGUGGGAGCAAAUUAAAAAGAUAGUACCACAAGAGGAAGAGACGGCUAACUCUGUGCCAGCAGCCGCGGUAAUACAGGGGUCUCAAGCGUUGUUCGGAAUCACUGGGCGUAAAGCGUGCGUAGGCUGUUUCGUAAGUCGUGUGUGAAAGGUGCGGGCUCAACCCGCGGACGGCACAUGAUACUGCGAGACUAGAGUAAUGGAGGGGGAACCGGAAUGCUCGGUGUAGCAAUGAAAUGCGUAGAUAUCGAGAGGAACACUCGUGGCGAAGGCGGGUUCCUGGACAUUAACUGACGCUGAGGCAUGAAGGCCAGGGGAGCGAAAGGGAUUAGAUACCCUGGUAGUC
rnacentral:rRNA from 1 species